UGUGCCGGAUGUCCCGUCAUGCCAACUCACAACUUGUCAACACUUGUCAAGUUCGAGUGGGUCGAGUCAACUUGUCACAACAUUAGGAAAUGUCUUUUUAAAACACCUCUCCAACGAGCAACACAUCAUAUCCAGUCCAAGAUUACCCAGUUUCAUCUUGGACUGGAUGAUGAUUUGAAAUUUUUGUUGUCAACGCGAGGAGCACCAGCAAGACUAUCCUCAUGAUACCAGAAAGAAGAUGAAAGUUUCUUUCCUGAUAAAAAGCUGAAGAUUGAUUUAAACAUUAUGUUGAAAAUAUCAACCAACAGCUUCACCUCACCAAGUGGAAACUAAAUCUCACAAUGUCUGACACUUGGCAUUGGUAAAUGAAGAAAUGUUAAUUCUUAAUUUUAUCGGUUAUUUUAUGUUUAUUUAUUUUAUCGGUUAUGUAAUUGAACUGCUAAAAUUUAUGCGUCUUGAGAGGCACCUAUCUACACAAGACGAACGUUUAGCAGAACGUUCUUCUUGUGUAGAUCAAUGCCUCUCAAUAUGUCAGUAUCGCGGUUAUUGAUACUCACGGCAUCGAAUAAUUCAGGCCAAUGCUAUAGUUGCAAUGUUAGUUGCUUGUUUAAAUAUGCGCAAGAAUUCAGCAUUUUUUCCGUAUUUUUUUUAAAGCUUGUGAACUUUUUUUUGAAAGCAACAAAUAAAAUUUUUUUAUAUCAACAAAUAUAAAAUUUAUAUUUCAGCAACUUUUACAUUUAAAAUUAACCGUUUUUUUUCUUCUCAUUUUUAUUAUUAAUGAAGAAAAAGAAUGAUAAAAAUGAGAAGAGAAAAAAAAUAGUUAAUUUUAAAUAUAAAAAUUCUUGGAGUAUAAGUUUUGUAUUUUUUGAUGACAGCAGGAGAAUGCCCUGACAGUUUUUAUACAGACAUGAUAAUGCUGCCAAAGAAAAUGAUUACUGUAAUGGCACUCUCCUGCUGGUUAAACAAAAAACAAAAAUAACUUGUAAAAAUGAAUAUAUAAGGUAAUGAUGCUAUUUGCAUUUUGAAUUUUGUUAAAUACAAUUCUAAUAAUUGACUUUUAAUUAAUUUUAUUGAAAACGAAUUGGCUAUUGACUUGUAUUAGUUAACUUUUUGAAAUUGUUGAUAAAUAAUACUACUCGUUAGCCUCAACCGUUGAAAAAAAUAGGUGAAGAUAAAACUUAAAUUAAUGACUAAUUAAUUAUUUAUUAAAAGAUACAUCGAAAGAUAGAUAUACAAUUGAGGUAAUCAGCUUUAUUAUAAUAACAAAUAUAAAAACCUUUGAGUUCAAAGUCACAUAAUUCAAGAUCCCUUUAGCAAAUUUAUGAGAAGCAGAAAUUUUUUUUUGAAUUAAAUGAAUAGGAUUCAAAGGUAUAAUCAUCUUUUAAAUUGGAAGAUUUGCAUUUUAAUAAUAUAUUGAUACUAUAGUGAUUGCAAUGAAAGAUUAUUUACAAUUAUUGUGCAGAUAUUUGUAAAUAAUUAAUUAUUCCCACCAAUUUUUACAUUUAAAAUUAACUGUUUUUUUUUUCUUCUCAUUUUUAUUAUAAUAAAAAUGAGAAGAAAACAAAAUAGUUAAUUUUAAAUAUAAAAAUUUUUGGAGUUUAAUUUUGUAUUUAUUGAUGAUCAGCAGAAGAGUGCCCUGACAGUUUUUACACAGACAUGAUAAUGCUGUCAAGAAAUUUGAUUACUGUCAUGGCAUUCUUCUGCUGGUUACCCCUUAGACAAAUAAUAGUUAUUAAUAAUAUAACUAUCAUCAUUACUUUAUAUGUUAAUUUUCAGAGGUUCUUUUUAUUUUUUAUUAAAAUACAUAAAUAAAUAACAUAAAAAAUAAUAGAUUGAAAAGACACAUAAAAUUUGAAAAUUUUUAUUUUAUUUAUUACUUUUAUUAUACACAAUAUUGUUUAAAAUCAUGUACAUAUUUAUAAACUUCUUGAUCGAUUGAAUAAUUCAUUAUAAUAAUUUUAUAUUAAUUUCGAGAUUAUAUAUAUUUAAUAAUACAAAAGAAAAAAAAAAAAAAAAACUGAAAUAUUUCCAGUAUUAUUCUUAACAAAAACAUUAAAUUUGUAAAUAUAUAUAUUUGAGGGUCCAGAUUCUAAAAAGACUCAAGCACUUGGAACUCAAUUGUAACGCUCAAGUCUUUUCAAAAUCCAGAUCCUUAUUUGUAAAAAAUAAAAAACAAACAUAGCAAAAGUUAUGGAAAUUAAAAUGAUAAAAAUAUCGAAAUGGCUGAUUAAUUAAAAAACAAAUCGAAAAUUAUUUUUUGCCAUUUUUACAAACAUACUUUCACGAUAUUGAUAAACUACUCGAUGAUUUAAUAAAAAAAAAAAAAAUAUGCCAUU